UGGGCGGGCGAGCAUAAUCCACCAUCGUAGUACAGAUGAAUCCUGAAUUGCUUCGUAGUAUACAACUAUGGGGACAGACACUACGAGAGACACACUGACACACACACUAACCACCAUUCCCUUGUAUCUCUCUCUGUUAGUCUAAUGGAUGGGAUGCCAGUGAGAUGUUCAACUACGGAGUCAACUCCACCUAUGGCUUCCUCUUCAUGUACACCUGAGUAUUCUCCUCAGUCUGUGUCUUUUUAGAAGUGUUCCUCUGGAGAGGCCUGCCUCAGAUGAAUGAGACCGAGGGCAACCUCCAGAUACCACCACCUCGUCUCACUAAACAACAAUGAAGGCAAGACUGAGGAGUACAAGUACAGUACCAUGGUCUAAGACAGAGAGGCGACAUGAAUGAGUAGUGACGAUGGCAGGUGAUUCUCUAGAGGACUCUAUUCCUCGGAAUGCAAUUAGUUUAAUCAGGUGUGUUAGCUGGGGUAUGGGAAAAAGUGUGACACCAAUCAGGCCCCCGAGGGCUGGAGUGCCACGUUGAGGAUGACCAGAUCGAGAUGGAAUCAACAGACUCGACACAAGAUCCAGCUUGAUCUGAUUCAGGGCUCUCCUGGAGUGUUACCAUCUCGUAGGUUUUCUCCAACCCUAAUCUAGUGUACCUGAUUCUAAUAACUAACGGAUUGAUAAGCUACAGUAGUGUAACUCUCCAGCAGAUCUGAACCGCCACCUAGUCCCCACACCCUUUUAUCUUGUAA